rnacentral:rRNA from 1 species
GAGUUUGAUCCUGGCUCAGGAUGAACGCUAGCGGCAGGCUUAACACAUGCAAGUCGAGGGGUAACGGGGAAGCUUGCUUCCGCCGACGACCGGCGCACGGGUGCGUAACGCGUAUACAAUCUACCUUGUACCGGGGUAUAGCCUUUAGAAAUGAAGAUUAAUCCCCCAUAGUCUCUUAGAGUGGCAUCACUUCUAGAGUAAAGGUUACGGUAUAAGAUGAGUAUGCGUUCUAUUAGUUUGUUGGUGUGGUAACGGCACACCAAGACUACGAUAGAUAGGGGCCCUGAGAGGGGGAUCCCCCACACUGGUACUGAGACACGGACCAGACUCCUACGGGAGGCAGCAGUGAGGAAUAUUGGACAAUGGAGGCAACUCCGAUCCAGCCAUGCCGCGUGCAGGAAGACUGCCCUAUGGGUUGUAAACUGCUUUUAUACAGGAAGAAACACCUCUACGUGUAGAGGCUUGACGGUACUGUAAGAAUAAGGAUCGGCUAACUCCGUGCCAGCAGACGCGGUAAUACGGAGGAUCCAAGCGUUAUCCGGAAUCAUUGGGUUUAAAGGGUCCGUAGGUGGACAAUUAAGUCAGAGGUGAAAUCUUGCAGCUCAACUGUAAAAUUGCCUUUGAAACUGGUUAUCAUGAGUUAUUAUGAAGUAGUUAGAAUAUGUAGUGUAGCGGUGAAAUGCAUAGAUAUUACAUAGAAUACCAAUUGCGAAGGCAGAUUACUAAUAAUCAACUGACACUGAUGGACGAAAGCGUGGGUAGCGAACAGGAUUAGAUACCCUGGUAGUCCACGCCGUAAACGAUGGUUACUAGCUGUUUGGACUUCGGUCUGAGUGGCUAAGCGAAAGUGAUAAGUAACCCACCUGGGGAGUACGUUCGCAAGAAUGAAACUCAAAGGAAUUGACGGGGGCCCGCACAAGCGGUGGAGCAUGUGGUUUAAUUCGAUGAUACGCGAGGAACCUUACCAGGGCUUAAAUGUAAGUUGCAUUAGUUAGAGAUAGCUAUUUNUUCGGACCACUUACAAGGUGCUGCAUGGUUGUCGUCAGCUCGUGCCGUGAGGUGUCAGGUUAAGUCCUAUAACGAGCGCAACCCCUGUUGUUAGUUGCCAGCGAGUCAUGUCGGGAACUCUAACAAGACUGCCAGUGCAAACUGUGAGGAAGGUGGGGAUGACGUCAAAUCAUCACGGCCCUUACGUCCUGGGCUACACACGUGCUACAAUGGUAGGUACAGAGAGCAGCCACUGCGCGAGCAGGAGCGAAUCUAUAAAACCUAUCACAGUUCGGAUCGGAGUCUGCAACUCGACUCCGUGAAGCUGGAAUCGCUAGUAAUCGGAUAUCAGCCAUGAUCCGGUGAAUACGUUCCCGGGCCUUGCACACACCGCCCGUC